rnacentral:ncRNA from 1 species
UAAUAAGACAAGACCCUUUGGAGCUUUAAUUAACUAAUCCAAAAAAUAAUAAUAAUAAUAAACAAGAACCUAACCUCAGGGGAUAACAAAGCUUUUAAUGGAUUAACAAUUUUGGUUGGGGCGACCUCAGAGAAUCCAACAAGCUCCAAGUGAUUAAAAUUUAGACCAACUAGUCAAAAUGCUUCAUCACUUAUUGACCCAAAAUAUUGAUCAACAGAACAAGUUACCCUAGGGAUAACAGAGCAAUCCUAUUCUGGAGUUCGUAUUGACAACAGGGUUUAGGACCUCAGUGUUGGAACAGGACAUCCCAAAGUUGCAACAGCUAUUAAUGGUUCAUUUGCUCAACGAUUAAAGUCCUAAGUGAUAGGAGUUGAGACCAGAGUAAUCCAGGCAGGUUUCAAUCUAUUA